rnacentral:rRNA from 1 species
UACGAAGGGGGCUAGCGUUGUUCGGAAUUACUGGGCGUAAAGCGCGCGCAGGCGGUCCUUCAAGUCAGAGGUGAAAGCCCAGAGCUCAACUCCGGAACUGCCAUUGAAACUGUUAAACUUGAGGACGAGAGAGGUGAGUGGAAUUCCCAGUGUAGAGGUGAAAUUCGUAGAUAUUGGGAAGAACACCAGUGGCGAAGGCGGCUCACUGGCUCGUAUCUGACGCUCAGGCGCGAUAGCGUGGGGAUCAAACAGG